AGGCACAAGCGGCUCUCUGUAAAUAAAUAAGUGAACUAAUUGGUUGGUUAAUUCUAAACAGAUCAUAAAUGCUCCACUUGUUUCUCAAUCACACUGAUCACUCCAGGAAGAUUAUUAAGCAAUUGUUUUGCAUACUGCAAUAAGACAGACGGAGAGAGGAGAGAGAAGGACAGACAGAGAGACUGCUCAAAUAAAAACAUGGGGAAAGACGGUGUGUAAUGUGAGUAGAUCCUAAUGAAGAAAGUCUCUCAACCACCAUGUCUGAUUCUGAUCAAACCUGAGGUUCUCUACACACCUGCACGACUAGAGGAUGAGAAGAUCCAAGUAAGAUCUUACUCUACCCUGGCACCAUUCUAGGAAUUGAAGAUAUGAUGGUAGACAAGACACAUGGGGUCCCUGCCUUUAUGGAGCCGAGAAGCCAGUGCAGAUGACAGACAGUAAUGGGUGAACAAAGAGGAACAUAUGAAUUCACACGAGAUGGAGAAAAUUGUGCCCAGUGGAGCUGUGGAAAGGUUGGAUAGAGGGUGGGGAUUACCAGACAAUAAGAGGAUGGUGGCCCUCUUAGAGGAGAUAAAAGAUCAGCAGCAAUAUGAACAAGGAGAAGGAGAGGAAACACUGGAGGAUUUCUAGGGAGAAAAAUCAGCAAGUGCUGAAAUCGAUGUGGCCAUGAGUUUGGUGUCUUAGAAACUGCACGGCUAGAAAGGAAUGAGCAAGGACAUGAUGAAGAUGAACUAGAGGGUUCUUUGGGGGCCAGAUCAUGAAGUACCGGGAAAGACAUGGCAAAGACCUUUGAUUUUAUUUUAACUGUUAUGGGAAGCUAGUGAAUCAUUUAAAUGGGGGAGUAACAUUCUGAUUUGUCAGUUAAAAUAUCACACUGGCUACUGUUAGGAGAAUAGAUUGGUGAGGGGCAUAAGUAGAAACAGUCAGGCAAAUAUAAGAUGUGUUGAGCAAUGUUCAUACCUACCCAAAUCACGUCUCCUUUCUUACACAGUAAAAAAUUCAGUGCUUCUUCUGGUCAGUCCUGUGACUGCCUAGAAAAGGGUAUUUAAUCUUCUGUCCUUCAAGAAGGAGUCGCUGGUGGGGUGUAAUCAGAAGCUGGAGAGGGAGUCAGAGUCCCGUUGGCCCUUGCUCUUUCCUCCUGUCUGUGGUCAGGGGUGUGAACAUGAUGGCCAACCAGUGAUAUCGGCGUCUUGGGCCAUGGGGUUACUCUAGGAAUGCAGAGCAAGAAGGUAGAAGGAUGGGAUUCUGUGUGGAAGAAUACAGGCAAACCUCACUUCAUUGGGCUUUGCUUUAUCUUGCUUCAAACAUAUUGCACUUUAUACAAAUUGAAGUUUUGCAACAACCCUGCAUUGGGCAAGACUAUUGGGUGACAUUUAUUCAACAGCAUUUGCUCACUUCAUGUCUCUAUGUCACAUUUUGAUAAUUUAAAAAUAUUCCAAGCUUUUUCAUUAUUAUUAUAUUUGUUUUGGUGAUUUGUGAUCAGCCAUCUUUGAUGUUACUGUUGUAAUACUUUUGGUAUUUUUAGCAACAAAGUAUUUUUAACUAAGAUAUAUACAUUGCUUCUUAGACAUAAUGCUAUUGCACACUUAAGAGACUACACUGUAGUAUCAACAUAACUUUUUUAUGCACUGGGAAACCAGAACUUUCAUGUGACUCGCUUUAUUGCAUAUUCGCUUUAUUGUAAUGGUCUGGAAAAGAACCCACACUGCCUUGGAUGAAAACCUGUAAAUUUCUGUUUUGUUUAAGCCACUGACAUUUGGGGUUUUAGGUUAGGCAAAUCUAACUCCAACUAAUUCGGUAGACAACCAUGGCUUAAUGAGAUCCCAAAAAUGUUUGACUUGGGUAUAGUGUAGAAGGUGGGAUUUGUUGGGUAGCAAAGUAUAUUUUGAAAGUGGAAUCAUGAGUAUUUACUGAUCUGAAUUUUCUGGAUGAAUGUGGAGGAUGAGAGAAAGGGAGGAACCAAGGAUGGCUUCCAGGAUUUUUGCCUUGGUAACUGGAAAGUGGAUAAUAAAACAAGCUCCUGGUGUAGGAUUACAAGGGGGCAGAGUUCUAAU
rnacentral:lncRNA from 1 species